rnacentral:rRNA from 1 species
CCCUUAGAUGUUCUGGACCGCACGCGCGCUACAAUGACAUGAACAGCGAGAUUCUGUAUGUAAAAGCAUAUGGGCCAUCUGUAAAUACAUGUCCCGUCUAGGGCUUGGCAAUUGCAAUUUUUUGGCACUAACGAGGAAUUCCUAGUAAGCACGGGUCAUGACCCCGUGCUGAUUGCGUCCCUGCCCUUUGUACACACCGCCCGUCGCUCCUACCGAUUGAAUGAUCCGGUCAAUUUAAUGGAACAUUAGUGGAUUUUCCGCAAAUGUGAAAUUACGUGAGCCUUAUCAUUUAGAGGAAGGAGAAGUCGUAACA